UAAACUAAAAUUGCAUAUAAAAAAUAUAUAAACUUAGUAUCCUGUCCUGUGUGUAGAACUAUGGCUGCAUGAUUUGGUGAUUGUUGUUACAUUCUCUGUCCUCGUCAGCUCAAAGAUCCACAGUCCCAUGUCACUGUUCUGCUGCCACAUAUCAAAACUCUGAUCAAGCUUCACUUUACUGUCAUUACUAAGUUAUAACAGGAACUACAUUUUGUUUCAUGCAAACAAAUAACACAAGAGUUUUCCUUGUCUUGUUCCACAGAUAUCCUGAUGAUCCAUUUGAUAGAAUCUGGGAAUCUGAUUCUGUGAGGAGAGCAAAUUACCUUGUUGAUGUUGCUCCAGGGACUGAAAGAAUAUCAACUACAAAACCCAUAUUUGUCGGUACCAACGAAGAACCACC
rnacentral:lncRNA from 1 species